rnacentral:tRNA from 1 species
GAGGGUACAGCCCAGUGGUAGAGCGAAUGCUUAGCAUGCACAAGGUGCUGGGUUCAAUCCCCAGUACCUCCU